GAGGAGACAUCUUGCUACAAGUCUUGUUGUGUUUUGCUGCCUAUAGUUUGGUUAAGGGUUAGAGAGGAGAUUUAUAUUUUUGACGUGGAGGUCUUCUAUAAAUUCCUUGUUGUAAAAACUGCAACCAUUAUAGUGCAUUUUUUCUUGUGACGGAAGGACACAGGAUGUAGGCAUUGUUGGCCGAACUAGCAUAAAAACCAGUGUUUGAUUUUGAUAAACCACCAAUU
rnacentral:lncRNA from 1 species